rnacentral:rRNA from 1 species
UACGUAGGGGGCAAGCGUUGUUCGGAAUUACUGGGCGUAAAGGGCGCGUAGGCGGCAUGGCAAGUCAGGAGUGAAAGGCCUGGGCUCAACCGAGGAACUGCUUUUGAUACUGCCAAGCUAGAGUGCGGAAGGGGCAACUGGAAUUCCCGGUGUAGCGGUGGAAUGCGUAGAGAUCGGGAAGAACAUCAGUGGCGAAGGCGGUCUGCUGGGCCGUUGCUGACGCUGAUGCGCGACAGCGUGGGGAGCAAACAGG